CAAUAGCGUAUACUAAAGUUGUUGCGAUUAAAAAGCUCGUAGUUGGAUCUCAGGCAUGGGCGCACGGUCCGCCUCGCGGCGGUCACUGUGUGUUUUGUUUACCAUCCUACGCUUCCCGGUUAUCAGCCCAUGGUGCUCUUCACUGAGCGUUUUGGGUGGCCGGAACGUUUACUUUGAAGAAAUUAGAGUGUUCAAAGCAGGCACGUCGCCUGAAUAAUGGUGCAUGGAAUAAUGGAAUAGGACCUCGGUUCUAUUUUGCUGGUUUUCGGAACACGAGGUAAUGAUUAAGAGGGACAGACGGGGGCAUCCGUAUUGCGGUGUUAGAGGUGAAAUUCUUGGAUCAUCGCAAGACGAACAACUGCGAAAGCAUUUGCCAAGCAUGUUUUCAUUAG
rnacentral:rRNA from 1 species